rnacentral:rRNA from 1 species
CAAGUCGAACGAACCUUCGGGUUAGUGGCGGACGGGUGAGUAACGCGUGGGAAUCUGCCCUCAGGAGGGGGAUAACGGUUGGAAACGACCGCUAAUACCCCAUAUGCCGAGAGGUGAAAUGAAUUUCGCCUGAGGAUGAGCCCGCGUCUGAUUAGCUUGUUGGUGAGGUAAUGGCUCACCAAGGCUUCGAUCAGUAGCUGGUCUGAGAGGAUGAUCAGCCACACUGGGACUGAGACACGGCCCAGACUCCUACGGGAGGCAGCAGUGGGGAAUUUUCCGCAAUGGGCGAAAGCCUGACGGAGCAACGCCGCGUGAGGGACGAAGGCCUCUGGGCUGUAAACCUCUUUUCUCAAGGAAGAAGAUAUGACGGUACUUGAGGAAUAAGCCACGGCUAAUUCCGUGCCAGCAGCCGCGGUAAUACGGGAGUGGCAAGCGUUAUCCGGAAUUAUUGGGCGUAAAGCGUCCGCAGGCGGCCUUUCAAGUCUGCUGUUAAAGCGUGGAGCUUAACUCCAUCAUGGCAGUGGAAACUGAUUGGCUUGAGUAUGGUAGGGGCAGAGGGAAUUCCCGGUGUAGCGGUGAAAUGCGUAGAUAUCGGGAAGAACACCAGUGGCGAAGGCGCUCUGCUGGGCCAUUACUGACGCUCAUGGACGAAAGCCAGGGGAGCGAAAGGGAUUAGAUACCCCUGUAGUCCUGGCCGUAAACGAUGAACACUAGGUGUCGGGGGAAUCGACCCCUUCGGUGUCGUAGCUAACGCGUUAAGUGUUCCGCCUGGGGAGUACGCACGCAAGUGUGAAACUCAAAGGAAUUGACGGGGGCCCGCACAAGCGGUGGAGUAUGUGGUUUAAUUCGAUGC